UCAAAGUUUAAAGCAAAAGAAAGUACUUAUGUUCCUCAAUGCAACAUUUUCAAUUCUGUCUUGUGUUACUGUCAUGAUUCUUACUUUCUCAAUUAUUUACUUUUGAUUGAAAGAUUGCGAUACAUCGUAGGUCAUGAAUAUUGAAAAUUGGAAAACAUUUGCAUUUGACUAUUGAGACUGACGUGAGAGGAGGCAUACCUAGGUACUUCGAAGUACUACGGAUAUAAGUAGUUAUGAUGAUGUUCUUUUGGAAAAUUCAUCUAUCCAGCAUUUUAUUCCAUCAACAUCAAAUAUACUGCUGCGAUGCUGCGAAUACUUAUGCACAGUAUAAUUUAUUCACACAAACAUCAUUCAACAUUGUUCUCGGAAAAUUGGCGUUUCUAGAUGAUAAUAUUUCAAAAGAUUGUUGAUGAAAAUGAUUACUGCGAAAAGAACGAAUUUGCACGUCACUUCCGUGCAUGUGCAGCCUAACGGGGUAGGGUUUGCUAAUAUGCGAUAAACACCGGACUUGUGAAAUAAAAUGAAAAUAAUUGCUCAUUUCUCUAAUAAAAGCUGAAUAAGUUUAAA